rnacentral:rRNA from 1 species
UAGUCCACGCCCUAAACGAUGUUAACUCGAUGUUUGUAUUUAUAUGAGCAUCCAAGGGAAACCGUUAAGUUAGCCACCUGGGGAGUACGUUCGCAAGAAUGAAACUCAAAGGAAUUGACGGGGAUCCGCACAAGCGGUGGAGCAUGUGGUUUAAUUCGAUGAUACGCGAGGAACCUUACCUAGGCUCUAAUGCCUCUGCUACCCCUUGAAAGAGGGGGUUCCUUCGGGACAGAGUGCAAGGUGCUGCAUGGUUGUCGUCAGCUCGUGCCGUGAGGUGUUGGGUUAAGUCCCGCAACGAGCGCAACCCUUGUCUUUAGUUGCCAUCAUUUAGUUGGGCACUCUAGAGAAACUGCCGGUGACAAACCGGAGGAAGGUAAGGAUGACGUCAAGUCAGCAUGCCCCUUACGCUCUGGGCUACACACGUGCUACAAUGGUCGUGACAAAGAGUUGCUAGUCUGCGAAGGCAAGCCAAUCUCAUAAACGCGGCCUUAGUUCGGAUUGCAGGCUGAAACUCG